rnacentral:sRNA from 2 species
GCCCGGGUCAUUGGGGAGUAGCCGCUCUUCGUCGCGAAGAGGCCCACGUCAACACACUUGGCCCACAGGCCAUGGCGCGGGCGGUUCCCAUGCUUGGCAAGACCUUUGACCACUGCGCUCCGAGAUGGCCGGGGAUGCGCCGUGGUCAUGUGUCCGUUGCCCGGCCCUGGAAA